GAGUUUGAUCAUGGCUCAGAUUGAACGCUGGCGGCAGGCUUAACACAUGCAAGUCGAACGGUAGCAGGAAGAAAGCUUGCUUUCUUUGCUGACGAGUGGCGGACGGGUGAGUAAUGCUUGGGAAUCUGGUUUAUGGAGGGGGAUAACUGUGGGAAACUGCAGCUAAUACCGCGUAGUAUCGAGAGAUGAAAGGGUGGGACCUUCGGGCCACCUGCCAUAAGAUGAGCCCAAGUGGGAUUAGGUAGUUGGUGGGGUAAAGGCCUACCAAGCCGACGAUCUCUAGCUGGUCUGAGAGGAUGACCAGCCACACUGGGACUGAGACACGGCCCAGACUCCUACGGGAGGCAGCAGUGGGGAAUAUUGCGCAAUGGGGGGAACCCUGACGCAGCCAUGCCGCGUGAAUGAAGAAGGCCUUCGGGUUGUAAAGUUCUUUCGGUAAUGAGGAAGGGGUAUUAUUGAAUAGAUAAUAUCAUGACGUAUACGAAAGC
rnacentral:rRNA from 1 species